UACGUAGGGGGCAAGCGUUGUCCGGAAUCAUUGGGCGUAAAGAGCGCGUAGGCGGUCCGGUAAGUCAGCUGUGAAAGUCAAGGGCUCAACCCUUGAAAGCCGGUUGAUACUGUCGGGCUAGAGUCCGGAAGAGGCGAGUGGAAUUCCCGGUGUAGCGGUGAAAUGCGCAGAUAUCGGGAGGAACACCAAUGGCGAAGGCAGCUCGCUGGGACGGUACUGACGCUGAGGCGCGAAAGCGUGGGGAGCGAACAGG
rnacentral:rRNA from 1 species